UGUAGUAGAGGUUGAAGCAAAAAUUUAGUAUUAUUAAAUUAGUUGUGAGGACGACCAAAUAGGGUCAUCCUCACUUAUAUACAGUACUGAAUAUAAAUUGGUGUUGGACCUACUCAACUGGUAGAUUUUCAUUGAAUAUUAUUCAUUCAGCAUUAGCAAAUUUCUCUUCGAACUGCAUUAGAAUACCAGCCUGUGGCUCAAAUUCCACUGUAAAAUAUGUACAAAAUGGACAGCUGAAAGAACAAGCGCAUGAAGCUGCAAAGAAAAAGAAGGGUUCGGAGGCUCAGUCCAAGGGUCCCGCUAAUCAAUAGAGGAUUCCAGAGAGAAGUGAUCCAUGCAGUGGUGAGCCUUCUUUAUUCUAGAAGGCCUGUUAUUUCAGAUUAUGUUAUUCCGUUGUUUUGGUCUACUGGGGGUCUUGUCCCAGUUUUCAGAAUAGUUUUGAGAUAUAGUAGAGAUCUCACAGACUGAGUCAGAUCUUAUUCAGAUGUUUUGAAUUGUAGCUCUCAUUCUUAUGUCUUGAAUCUCAGAGUUAAUGACCA